CAGUAGCCGCGGUAAUACGUAGGGUGCAAGCGUUAAUCGGAAUUACUGGGCGUAAAGGGCGCGUAGGCGGUUUUUUAAGUCUGAUGUGAAAGCCCACGGCUCAACCGUGGAGGGUCAUUGGAAACUGGAAAACUUGAGUGCAGAAGAGGAAAGUGGAAUUCCAUGUGUAGCGGUGAAAUGCGCAGAGAUAUGGAGGAACACCAGUGGCGAAGGCGACUUUCUGGUCUGUAACUGACGCUGAUGUGCGAAAGCGUGGGGAUCAAACAGGAUUAGAUACCCCCGUAGUCCCUGUCUCUUAUAC
rnacentral:rRNA from 1 species